rnacentral:rRNA from 1 species
AACGGACGCUGGCGGCGGGCUUAACACAUGCAAGUCGAGCGCCCCGCAAGGGGAGCGGCAGACGGGUGAGUAACGCGUGGGAAUCUACCCAUCUCUACGGAAUAACGCAUGGAAACGUGUGCUAAUACCGUAUACGUCCUUCGGGAGAAAGAUUUAUCGGAGAUGGAUGAGCCCGCGUUGGAUUAGCUAGUUGGUGGGGUAAAGGCCUACCAAGGCGACGAUCCAUAGCUGGUCUGAGAGGAUGAUCAGCCACACUGGGACUGAGACACGGCCCAGACUCCUACGGGAGGCAGCAGUGGGGAAUAUUGGACAAUGGGCGCAAGCCUGAUCCAGCCAUGCCGCGUGAGUGAUGAAGGCCCUAGGGUUGUAAAGCUCUUUCACCGGUGAAGAUAAUGACGGUAACCGGAGAAGAAGCCCCGGCUAACUUCGUGCCAGCAGCCGCCGUAAAAC